CCGUAGGUGAACCUGCGGAAGGAUCAUUACUGAGUGCGGGCUGCCUCCGGGCGCCCAACCUCCCACCCGUGAAUACCUAACACUGUUGCUUCGGCGGGGAACCCCCUCGGGGGCGAGCCGCCGGGGACUACUGAACUUCAUGCCUGAGAGUGAUGCAGUCUGAGUCUGAAUAUAAAAUCAGUCAAAACUUUCAACAAUGGAUCUCUUGGUUCCGGCAUCGAUGAAGAACGCAGCGAACUGCGAUAAGUAAUGUGAAUUGCAGAAUUCAGUGAAUCAUCGAGUCUUUGAACGCACAUUGCGCCCCCUGGCAUUCCGGGGGGCAUGCCUGUCCGAGCGUCAUUGCUGCCCAUCAAGCCCGGCUUGUGUGUUGGGUCGUCGUCCCCCCCGGGGGACGGGCCCGAAAGGCAGCGGCGGCACCGUGUCCGGUCCUCGAGCGUAUGGGGCUUUGUCACCCGCUCGACUAGGGCCGGCCGGGCGCCAGCCGACGUCUCCAACCAUUUUUCUUCAGGUUGACCUCGGAUCAGGUAGGGAUACCCGCUGAACUUAAGCAUAUCAAUAAGCGGAGGAAAAGAAACCAACCGGGAUUGCCUCAGUAACUGC
rnacentral:rRNA from 1 species